CAAUUUAAGUUAAACAUGAUUAUUCUGUCGAUUUUCCUGUAUUUUAUUUUGGCGGGAUAGCCUGUACUCGCAUUGCACUAUGGGUAGCGGAAAAUCCCGUUUCUGGGACAUGUGCUUCUAAUGUUCAAACUGUGAUCCUCCUGUGUCUUAACAUCUCAUUAAAACCUCCGAAACCAAAAGUCCUGCUGGGGCCCACAGGAUUGCCGGAGACAUUCCCGACUACUGCUGGGUGAAGGCGGGAUACGCCCUCCCCCAUCUAGGCAGCCGCCCAGUGAACAGCUUAGCAAGCUCUACUUCCCGGGGUUUGGCAGAUCAAGCGAGUGUCGCCUCAUAUGGAUCUCGCUGAGCUAGCAAGCGCCGCGGCGAAGGCUGCCGUUUUCUGCACUGAGGCUGAUCUCAUACUCCGUGGCAGGAAACAGACUGGACAAGGUGUAGUUUGUCACAUCGCUGUCAAUCAUCACACUGUCCACCCGACCUGCAGGGGACAAUAGAGACACCAAAGCAUCAAUCUGUCCAAAGCGUCGCUCAUCAAAGGGUAGAAACCUCUCACAAACGGAGCCACCAAAGGAAAGGAUGUAGCGAAAGUAAUUCAAGAGGACAAUUAAAUCCAUGACAGGACCUUCGCUUUCGGAGACAAAACCUGAGCUACUGUCAAAGAGACGGGAGAUAGCACUGUUUCCCAGAAGCAACUUAAAUAAAUAAACCAAUAAAAGAAUGAAUAAAUCCUUUACUUGGAUCUAAAGUUCAAGCUCAAGUUGUAAAUAAGUCUUUUACAAUGACUCUCUAUCCCUCCCGUGGGACAUAGACAGACUUUUGGAGUGACCUUGUAUGCCGGACCUCAUUGUAACAGAGCUAAAAGAGCCUCCGACUGAAGAUACUCCAUUGUUUCUCGAGUGUAGAAUGUACAUGUUUGGCAGAGUUUUCCUGUUAAAACUAUUUUCUAACUUUCUUUCUAUGCCUCAGUGCUUCACUUUUUCAUAGUCGAUUUAGCCUGAAAACAAAAUGACAUUAAAAAGUAGAUGAUGUGCUGCUGAGCGUUUGUCUAAAGAAAGUUUUGAAUAAAAUGAACAUCUCUGACAUAUUUAAGGAAUUGGAUAAAGAGGAGAACUAGACAGUAAUAAAAGAAAAUAAACACACAUCAUGUAUAAAAAAACUAUAGAGAUAUCAAUGCAAAUAGUCAAAAACGUAACAUUUCCCAAAUCACUGCUUGAUAUCCGACUAUAAUUGAGUACUGUUCUUAUUUACAAAGUAAAAUGACAAAUAAAAAGGAAAAAAAAA